rnacentral:miRNA from 14 species
CACUUCACGCUGCAAGCUAUUG